UUUCCAUAAGAACAAUGAUUGAAAGAAGAAAGUAACAUUACCAAAUGAUUUCCAAAAUUGUUAUCAUCCUCCUUUUGAUGCUUUUCUAUGCAAUGUCCUUUUCUUCUUAUUGUACUUAUUUUUCUUCUUCUUCUUCUUAUUCUUCUUCUUCUUCUCAUGGUAACAAUUGAUGGAGAAGAAAUGGCAUUUUGAAGAAGAGUUGAAGAACCAGCAGACACAUAGACUAUUGCUGGUAGUGUAUUAAUGAUGC
rnacentral:ribozyme from 1 species